rnacentral:misc_RNA from 1 species
AAGUUGUAACAAGGUCUCUGUUAGUGAACUAGCGGAGGGAUCAUUAUAGAGUUGCAAAACUCCUAUCACCAUUGCGAACUUACCUUACAACCGUUGCUUUGGCAGGCGGCCCUAGGCUUCUGCUUUCCUAGAUCCUUAGGGCCCUAUAGCCUGAUUGUCAGGUGCCUGCCAGAGGUCAUGCAACUAGACAUUGUUUAUAGCCUAUUAGAAUUUGUACUACCAAUUAGUUAAAACUUUCAACAACAGAUCUCUUGGUUCUA